rnacentral:rRNA from 1 species
AAUGAACGUUGGCGGCGUGGAUUAGGCAUGCAAGUCGAGCGAGAAGUUUUAAAAAGAUACUUCGGUUGAUUUUUAAAAUGGACAGCGGCGAAAGGGAGAGUAACGAGUAGAUCACGUACCCGAGGGUCCGGGAUAGCUGCGGGAAACUGCAGGUAAUACCGGAUAAUGUUUCCGAACCAAAGAUUUAUUGCCCUCGGAUCGGUCUGCUUACUAUUAGCUUGUUGGUGGGGUAAUGGCCUACCAAGGCGAAGAUGGUUAGCGGGUGUGAGAGCAUGGCCCGUCUCACUGGGACUGAGACACUGCCCAGACACCUACGGGUGGCUGCAGUCGAGAAUCUUCCGCAAUGGACGAAAGUCUGACGGAGCGACGCCGCGUGAUGGAUGAAGGCCCUCGGGUUGUAAACAUCUGUCGUAGGGGAGGAAAUUUUGACCGAUCCUAGGAGGAAGCGCAGGCUAAGUUCGUGCCAGCCGCCGCCGUAACAC